rnacentral:rRNA from 1 species
AGAGCGAACGCUGGCGGCAGGCUUAACACAUGCAAGUCGAGCGGGCGUAGCAAUACGUCAGCGGCAGACGGGUGAGUAACGCGUGGGAACGUACCUUUUGGUUCGGAACAACCCAGGGAAACUUGGGCUAAUACCGGAUAAGCCCUUACGGGGAAAGAUUUAUCGCCGAAAGAUCGGCCCGCGUCUGAUUAGCUAGUUGGUGAGGUAAUGGCUCACCAAGGCGACGAUCAGUAGCUGGUCUGAGAGGAUGAUCAGCCACAUUGGGACUGAGACACGGCCCAAACUCCUACGGGAGGCAGCAGUGGGGAAUAUUGGACAAUGGGCGCAAGCCUGAUCCAGCCAUGCCGCGUGAGUGAUGAAGGCCCUAGGGUUGUAAAGCUCUUUUGUGCGGGAAGAUAAUGACGGUACCGCAAGAAUAACGCCCCGGACUAACUUCGCGCCAGCAGCCGC